AGUAACGCGUGGGUAACCUGCCUCGUACAGGGGGAUAACAGUUAGAAAUGACUGCUAAUACCGCAUGAGCGCACAGUGCUGCAUGGCACAGUGUGAAAAACUCCGGUGGUAUGAGAUGGACCCGCGUCUGAUUAGCUAGUUGGUGGGGUAACGGCCUACCAAGGCGACGAUCAGUAGCCGGCCUGAGAGGGUGAACGGCCACAUUGGGACUGAGACACGGCCCAA
rnacentral:rRNA from 1 species